rnacentral:lncRNA from 1 species
GUCUGUAGUAAAACAGAGGGUAAGUUUUUAUUAUACAUUUUGUCUUAAGCAGAAACUUGUAAAAUACAAUUAAAAUGGCUUACUACAAACACAAAUUUAAAACAAACACAGACUUACAAAAUGGAAACAACAUUUAAAUAUGAGUCCAAUUACAAAAUUAAAUUUUUAUGAAUACAAACAGAACAAAUAUAUGAUAGAAGAAAAUAUCUACAGCAACCAUAUUUUGUUUAUGAAAAUGGCAUGGACAGGAAAGAACAGUUUCUGGACCAGCCUUGGUCCAGGAAUCCCAUUCUGAAUCGCUCUGAUAUCUAUGGACCAUUUAAAGGACUUUUCUUUUUUUUCUUUCUUUUUUUUUUUUUUUGUCUGAAUGAGACUGGAAGCCACUGUAAGACUUCCAGUGAUGUUUUUAAGUUUACAUUUUAUGAGUAAUAUUCUACUUUGUAGAGAAUAAAUCACAGCGGGCAGAUAUGCAAGCAGUCAAACCAGCAAGGAAGUUAUCAAAAUAAUCCAAAGAAAAAAUGAUGGAAGCAUUAACUCAGGUAGUGGUCAGAGAGGUAAGAAAUGUUGAAAUUCUGAACAAACAUUGAAGAUAAAGUCAACGGAAUUUACAGAUGACCGUUUUUUAAGAUAGAAAAUAUGGAGUAAAAUUAAAGAUGAAUAAAGGUUUUGAAAUCUGAGUAUGCUGAAAUAUGUAGCUACCAUUUCCUUAGAAAAAUUGGGGGUAGAGUAGAUUGAGGGGUGAAGGGUCAGGAGUUUAAUUUCAAUGUGUAAAAUAUUAUUACAUUUUUAUUGCUGUGUAAAAAACUGCUGACAACUUAGAACACCAACCAUUCAUUACCUCACAGUUUGGGUAAAUCAGAAGUCUGGGCUUGACUUAGCAGGAAUCUCUGCUCAGGGUCUCAAAGGGCAGAAAUCAAGGAGUCACCCACACUGAGGUCUCAUAUGGAGCUCAGUGUCUUUUUAAAAGUUUACCCAGGUUGUUGGCAGUAUUCUGUUCCUUGAAGUUGGAGAAAUGAGUUCAUGCUUUCUUGCUUGCUGUUAAUCAGAGAUUGUUCGCAGCUCCUGUAGGCCACAUGCUGUUGUUCCACGCAGGUGUUCCUCUCUAUAUGUUCAAGGCCAGCAGGAGACUCCCCCUAGUCAGCUACCAAGGAAUCUCCCUCUGAUUCCAAGCUUUCUUCAACCAAUGGAAAGUAACAAUUUUCCAAAUGUCAGAGAGCUUGAACAUGACUCUCAAGUUGACUUCCAAGCCUUCAUUGCCAAUGCUCCUUUUGGGUUUCUCCUCUUCUGUAGUUAUGAAACCACCU